UGAACGCUAGCUACAGGCUUAACACAUGCAAGUCGAGGGGCAGCAUGGUCUUAGCUUGCUAAGACUGAUGGCGACCGGCGCACGGGUGAGUAACACGUAUCCAACCUGCCGUCUACUCUUGGACAGCCUUCUGAAAGGAAGAUUAAUACAAGAUGGCAUCAUGAGUCCGCAUGUUCACAUGAUUAAAGGUAUUCCGGUAGACGAUGGGGAUGCGUUCCAUUAGAUAGUAGGCGGGGUAACGGCCCACCUAGUCUUCGAUGGAUAGGGGUUCUGAGAGGAAGGUCCCCCACAUUGGAACUGAGACACGGUCCAAACUCCUACGGGAGGCAGCAGUGAGGAAUAUUGGUCAAUGGGCGAGAGCCUGAACCAGCCAAGUAGCGUGAAGGAUGACUGCCCUAUGGGUUGUAAACUUCUUUUAUAAAGGAAUAAAGUCGGGUAUGCAUACCCGUUUGCAUGUACUUUAUGAAUAAGGAUCGGCUAACUCCGUGCCAGCAGCCGCGGUAAUACGGAGGAUCCGAGCGUUAUCCGGAUUUAUUGGGUUUAAAGGGAGCGUAGAUGGAUGUUUAAGUCAGUUGUGAAAGUUUGCGGCUCAACCGUAAAAUUGCAGUUGAUACUGGAUAUCUUGAGUGCAGUUGAGGCAGGCGGAAUUCGUGGUGUAGCGGUGAAAUGCUUAGAUAUCACGAAGAACUCCGAUUGCGAAGGCAGCCUGCUAAGCUGCAACUGACAUUGAGGCUCGAAAGUGUGGGUAUCAAACAGGAUUAGAUACCCUGGUAGUCCACACGGUAAACGAUGAAUACUCGCUGUUUGCGAUAUACGGCAAGCGGCCAAGCGAAAGCGUUAAGUAUUCCACCUGGGGAGUACGCCGGCAACGGUGAAACUCAAAGGAAUUGACGGGGGCCCGCACAAGCGGAGGAACAUGUGGUUUAAUUCGAUGAUACGCGAGGAACCUUACCCGGGCUUAAAUUGCAGAUGAAUUACGGUGAAAGCCGUAAGCCGCAAGGCAUCUGUGAAGGUGCUGCAUGGUUGUCGUCAGCUCGUGCCGUGAGGUGUCGGCUUAAGUGCCAUAACGAGCGCAACCCCUGUUGUCAGUUACUAACAGGUUCCGCUGAGGACUCUGACAAGACUGCCAUCGUAAGAUGUGAGGAAGGUGGGGAUGACGUCAAAUCAGCACGGCCCUUACGUCCGGGGCUACACACGUGUUACAAUGGGGGGUACAGAGGGCCGCUACCACGCGAGUGGAUGCCAAUCCCAAAAACCUCUCUCAGUUCGGACUGGAGUCUGCAACCCGACUCCACGAAGCUGGAUUCGCUAGUAAUCGCGCAUCAGCCACGGCGCGGUGAAUACGUUCCCGGGCCUUGUACACACCGCCCGUCAAGCCAUGGGAGCCGGGGGUACCUGAAGUGCGUAACCGCGAGGAGCGCCCUAGGGUAAAACUGGUGACUGGG
rnacentral:rRNA from 1 species